AGGUGAAAAGCACUUCGAACAGAAGAGUGAAAUAGUCCCUGAACCCAUACGCCUACAAGCAGUCGGAGCCGCUUCGUGCGGUGACGGCGUGCCUUUUGCAUAAUGAGCCUACGAGUUACUCAUCACCAGCGAGGUUAAGUACUUCAGGUACGUAAGCCGAAGCGAAAGCGAGUCUGAAUAGGGCGUCAAGUUGGUGGUGGUAGACGCGAAACCUUAGUGAUCUACCCAUGGGCAGGGUGAAGGUUUGGUAACACAAACUGGAGGCCCGAACCGGUAAACGUUGAAAAGUUUUCGGAUGACCUGUGGGUAGGGGUGAAAGGCCAAUCAAACUGGGAAAUAGCUCGUACUCUCCGAAAUGCAUUUAGGUGCAGCCUCUGUUGUUUUGUUCUAGAGGUAGAGCUACUGAUUGGAUGCGAGGGCUUCACCGCCUAUCAAAUCCGGCCAAACUCCGAAUGCUAGAACAUGAAGACAGGGAGUGAGCCAGCGGGUGCUAAGGUCCGUUGACGAAAGAGGGAGAACUCAGACCAUCAGCUAAGGUCCCCAAUUGUAUGCUAAGUUGGAAUUAAAACGGGGUGGGACUGCUUAGACAGCUAGGAUGUUGGCUUGGAAGCAGCCAUUCAUUUAAAGAGUGCGUAACAGCUCACUAGUCGAGCGGUCCUGCAUGGAUAAUACGCGGGCAUAAGCAUAUAACCGAAGCUAUGGGAUUGUAGAUGAUACAAUCGGUAGGAGAGCAUUCCAUUCAGCGUAGAAGCAGUAUCGUGAGGUAUUGUGGAGCGGAUGGAAAAGCAAAUGUAGGCAUAAGUAACGAUAAUGCGGGUGAGAACCCCGCACGCCGAAAGAUCAAGGAUUCCCCGGCAAUGUCAAUCAUCCGGGGGUAAGUCGGAUCCUAAGGGUAAGCCGAGUGGCGAUCCCGAUGGCAAACAGGUUAAUAUUCCUGUACUGAUCAUAACUGCGAUGCAGCGACGCAGAGGUGACACUGCUGCGUACUGACGGAAUAGUACGUUGAAACCCGUAUUCUUUGAUACCGGUAGUGAAGCACGCCGGUAGAGAUGAAAGGUGAUAGUACCGCAAUGCUUCGGUUGCGCGGAUAAUGCAGGUAAGCUGACUGCCAAGAAAACCUGCUAAGCUUCAGGUAAUGAUCAUCCGUACUGUAAACGGACACACGUGAUCAGGAGAAAAUACUAAGGCGCUCGAGAGAUUCAUGGUUAAGGAACUAGGCAAAAUGGUCCUGUAACUUCGGGAUAAAGGACGCUCUUGUGAAAGAGCCGCAGAUAAUAGGCCCAGGCGACUGUUUACCAAAAACACAUGGCUAUGCUAAUUCGCAAGAAGAUGUAUAUGGCCUGACACCUGCCCGGUGCCGGAAGGUUAAGAGGAGAGCUCAGAGGUAACUCGAAGGUUUGAAUUGAAGCCCCGGUAAACGGCGGCCGUAACUAUAACGGUCCUAAGGUAGCGAAAUUCCUUGUCGGGUAAGUUCCGACCUGCACGAAUGGUGUAACGAUCUGGGUACUGUCUCAACCAUGAGCUCGGUGAAAUUGUAGUUCCGGUGAAGAUGCCGGAUACCCGCAACGGGACGGAAAGACCCCGUGAACCUUUACUGCAGCUUUGCAUUGAUUUUGGGUAACAGAUGUGUAGGAUAGGUCGGAGGCUUUGAUGCAUGGUCGUCAGGCGUAGAGUAGCCGUCGUUGAAAUACGACCCUUUUGUUAUCUGAGGUCUAAUCCCGUUAGGGAGACAUUGCAUGGUGGGUAGUUUGACUGGGGUGGUCGCCUCCAAAAGUGUAACGGAGGCUUCUCAAGGUACCCUCAAGGCGUUUGGUAAUCGUCUGCAGAGUGCAAUGGCAUAAGGGUGCUUGACUGUGAGACCGACACGUCGAUCAGGUUGGAAACAAGAGCAUAGUGAUCCGGUGGUUCCGCAUGGAAGGGCCAUCGCU
rnacentral:rRNA from 1 species